rnacentral:rRNA from 1 species
AACGAACGCUGGCGGCAGGCCUAACACAUGCAAGUCGAGCGCGCCCUUCGGGGUGAGCGGCGGACGGGUGAGUAACGCGCGGGAACGUGCCCUUUUCUACGGAAUAGCCUCGGGAAACUGAGAGUAAUACCGUAUACGCCCUUUGGGGGAAAGAUUUAUCGGAAAAGGAUCGGCCCGCGUUGGAUUAGGUAGUUGGUGGGGUAAUGGCCUACCAAGCCGACGAUCCAUAGCUGGUUGGAGGGGAUGAUCAGCCACACUGGGACUGAGACACGGCCCAGACUCCUACGGGAGGCAGCAGUGGGGAAUCUUAGACAAUGGGGGCAACCCUGAUCUAGCCAUGCCGCGUGAGUGAUGAAGGCCUUAGGGUUGUAAAGCUCUUUCAGAUGGGAAGAUAAUGACGGUACCAGCAGAAGAAGCCCCGGCUAACUCCGUG